rnacentral:misc_RNA from 1 species
UUUUUUAAUUUCUCGCCUGGGGGCGCCUGGUGCUAGGCAGUGCCUAGUUGAAGGUGUCUCACCUGGAGGCUUCCCAGGUAAGGAGCCUGGAUUUUGCCUCGCCUAGGCGAGCGCCUGGGCACCUUUUGACAACAGUGAUUGGAAUCUUGUUCUUAAGGACCUUUCAACUAUAGUUAUGACUGAUUUUAUUUGUUCAGACAUUUUCAAGGAUGUAAAAGAAAGUGUCAGAUUUUUCUUUUUGAUUUCAUUGCCACCAUCAUUUCUCUCG